rnacentral:sRNA from 1 species
GCAAAUGCCCCGCGCUCAGGCUUUCGAUACGGCAAUCGAGCUCUUGCCGUCAGCUAACCGGUCCACGAGGGAUUGGGAAUCGUUACGAGCCGUGGCUCCCGCAGGAGACACUGCGCAGGUGAGCGCGGCUCCCACGGCGCGGGGC